GUAGGGAAUAUUGGGCAAUGGAUGCAAGUCUGACCCAGCCAUCCCGCGUGCCGGAAGAAGGCCCUCAGGGUUGUAAACGGCUUUUGACGGUGAAGAACCGACAGGAUGCGUCCUGUUUUGACGGUAGCCGUUGAAUAAGCACCGGCUAACUCCGUGCCAGCCGCCGCGGUAAUACGGAGGGUGCGAGCGUUGUCCGGAUUUAUUGGGUUUAAAGGGUGCGUAGGCUGGAAGGUCAGUCAGCGGUGAAAAGCUAUCGCUUAACGAUAGUCUUGCCGCAGAUACUUCCUUUCUUGGAUGAGGAGGAGGCCACUGGAACGGAUGGUGUAGCGGUGAAAUGCAUAGAUAUCAUCCAGAACACCGAUUGCGAAGGCAGGUGGCUGUACCUUAAUCGACGCUGAUGCACGAAAGCAUGGGGAGCAAACAGGAUUAGAUACCCGGGUAGUCC
rnacentral:rRNA from 1 species